rnacentral:rRNA from 1 species
AUGCGGUCCGCCGCAGCUCCCUGCGUGUCGACGGCGCCAACUUCGCCAUCGCGCCGUGGGGGGGAGAAUGACCAUGCUAGCCACGGCACCUUCAACCUCCACGUGCGCUGCGUCAUCGAGCAUCUACCUCAGCAGUACUGGACGCUGGAAGGCGUCCAAGAAGUCUUCGGCGACAAGGUGCUCAUGGAUCGGCUCGACAGCCGCACCCUGGAGCAUGACCACACCAAGACGUUCGCUUGCUGGGUGUGGGUUUGGGACAUGUCGUUCAUCCCCACCCGGCACACGUACUGGAAGCUGCCCCAGGGCGCCGGUCGGGUGGAGGAGAUGGACGGGUUCUCGCCGCCGGACCGCCGCUUCUCCCUCCCGCCCGGCAUGGAGCGCUAUGACUUGCUCAUCCACGUCGACCGAGUCGAGGACUGGUCCCCCCGCUCCCCCAAGUCGUAG